UGGGGGACCCUGAGGGGACCAUGGUCAUGAAGGACAACCAGACUACACCUCCUGGCCACGGAGGAACAAGCUGAGCAGCACAGGACCACACACAGUCUCACUGAGUCAGUAGACAUGGAGGAUGGGAAGCCUGAUCUGCUGCUGGUCAAAGAGGAGACGAUAGAAGAUGAACCAGAGAGCAUUGAUCUGCUGAGUGGACGAAAGAUGGGGGAACAAGGUGGUUGGCUGGAAGCUAACAGAGGAG